GAUGAACGCUAGCGGCAGGCCUAAUACAUGCAAGUCGGACGGGAUCCAUCGGUAGCUUGCUAUCCAUGGUGAGAGUGGCGCACGGGUGCGUAACGCGUGAGCAACCUGCCUCCAUCAGGGGGAUAGCCUCUCGAAAGAGAGAUUAACACCGCAUAACAUAUCAGACCGGCAUCGGUCGGAUAUCAAAUAUUUAUAGGAUGGAGAUGGGCUCGCGUGACAUUAGCUUGUUGGUGGGGUAACGGCCCACCAAGGCGACGAUGUCUAGGGGCUCUGAGAGGAGAAUCCCCCACACUGGUACUGAGACACGGACCAGACUCCUACGGGAGGCAGCAGUAAGGAAUAUUGGUCAAUGGGCGGAAGCCUGAACCAGCCAUGCCGCGUGCAGGAUGACUGCCCUAUGGGUUGUAAACUGCUUUUGUCCGGGAAUAAACCUCCUUACGUGUAGGGAGCUGAAUGUACCGGAAGAAUAAGAAUCGGCUAACUCCGUG
rnacentral:rRNA from 1 species